GGCCGCCUGGCGUAAUGGCAACGCGUCUGACUACGACAGCCUCCAGAGCUGGUUAUCAGGAGAUUGCAGGUUCGACCCCUGCGGUGGUCA